rnacentral:sRNA from 1 species
AUUAUCAGUGUCCCUCCCCCAACAGAAAGCAUGGGUGGGGGUGGGGGCGCUGCCGGAUCCCUGCUCUGGUGGAUGGGAAACUUGUGAGGGGCUGGUAAGCGCCCCCUCCGAAGCCUGGUGUGUGCGCGGGGGAAGGAAGUUAGUUUCCUCUCCACCCAUGGGCACCCCUUCUGCCCGGGGCCUGGGAAGUGGGCUGCUCUGUGGGCAAAUGCUGGGGCCUCUGAAAUGGAGGAGACGCAGCAGGGAGAGGCCCCACGUGGGCAGCUGCGCUGAGAGUCAGCAGCACCUGUCCCCCAGGCGCUCCUCCUGGUGCUGCUGGGGGCCCGGGCCCAGGGCGGCACUCGUAGCCCCAGGUGUGACUGUGCCGGUGACUUCCACAAGAAGAUUGGUCUGUUUUGUUGCAGAGGCUGCCCAGCGGCCUCCCAGGUGGCGCUGGAGAACUGUUCAGCAGUGGCCGACACCCGCUGUGGCUGUAAGCCAGGCUGGUUUGUGGAGUGCCAGGUCAGCCAAUGUGUCAGCAGUUCACCCUUCUACUGCCAACCAUGCCUAGACUGCGGGGCCCUGCACCGCC